rnacentral:lncRNA from 1 species
GCCGCGGGACCCCGCGCAAACAGGGCGACGCGGCGUCCCGCCACGCUACCGCUCUUGCCCUGACUGCGUCGGGAUGGGGGAGCGCAGUGAAGAACGACUGCAAUUGUUUUCACAAAGAUGGGUAGGAAGUCAUGCAAGAAAGUUAUGACAGCAACAAGAAAAGAUUAAGUUCCCUGAUAUCAAAGACUGGGACCGAAGUGUGCAAAUUAAUUACUGCAGCCAAGACCACAAAAAAUUCCUGCUGGUUGGUGCACACCUGUGAGGACAUCGUAACAUUUUCUGUAUAAUCAACUGCUACUGUGUAAAUGACCACCUGUAAUAUGCCAGGAGGAAUGCUUUUGUUUAGAGGCACAAGACACUUAUCAAUAAAGGAAAAGAGAUGUAUGAGAAUGUAUGAGAG